UGGGGAAUAUUGCACAAUGGGGGAAACCCUGAUGCAGCAACGCCGCGUGGAGGAUGACACAUUUCGGUGCGUAAACUCCUUUUAUAAGAGAAGAUAAUGACGGUAUCUUAUGAAUAAGCACCGGCUAACUCCGUGCCAGCAGCCGCGGUAAUACGGAGGGUGCAAGCGUUACUCGGAAUCACUGGGCGUAAAGAGCGUGUAGGCGGAUUUGUAAGUUGGGAGUGAAAGCCUAUGGCUCAACCAUAGAACUGCUUCCAAAACUGCAUGUCUAGAGUGUGGGAGAGGUAGAUGGAAUUUCUGGUGUAGGGGUAAAAUCCGUAGAGAUCAGAAGGAAUACCGAUUGCGAAGGCGAUCUACUGGAACAUAACUGACGCUGAGACGCGAAAGCGUGGGGAGCAAACA
rnacentral:rRNA from 1 species